GAUGACCUUCAUCUCAGGCGCUAUUACAUUAUUACGCUGGGUGGGAAAAGUAAGAUCGUUCAUGAUGAGGUCAACCGCAAACAUCUCUUAACCAUCAGGCC